UGAUGUGUCUAUUUCUAACAGUAGGAAUUCUCUGUUCAGAAAUAAAUUCUCUUUAUUAGAUGUUACUUCAAUGUCAUCACCUCUAUAGGUUAUUUGAAUGAUUCGUGAGACCGCAGAAGUUGUUGGUGCUAUAGUUAUAGAGGGCAUCAAUGGUAGUAACAAGGCAACAACCUAACCAUCCAAAGCUUUUUUAUUUUUCUUUUCGUCGUCAGCAUCCACAAUGAUGAGUAACCACUACUAGAGAUGAACCACACGAGUUUCAUUUUUUACUCUUAUCUCAGUUGUUUUCUGUUGCAGAAGGACUAACCUCUUAGGUUCAAGUAGCUGGAAUGGUUCGAGGAUAUCGGCCUGCUCCACACCCAGUCGCUCGCUCUUGAUCUGAACACGUCGUGGAGGGGGAGGGGCUUCAAAUUACGUCUGCCACCAUGAAAACAAUUAAUCCGUGCAUUGGUGUGUGAACCAGUUCAACAGCGAGAGCAAGCCGAUGCCCCUUCCACUUGGUAGAGAAGAAGUCACAAGGCAAGAGGAAGUCUUUAAUCUUUUUUUAAAGUAGGCUACAUCAGUGAGACAUUGCAGCUCAUAUGGGUCUUGAAAGGCAUCCUGAUUCCGAUGAAAGCUCGAGGCAAGAGGAGGUCUCUAAUCACUUCUAAAGUAGGCUACAUCAGUGAGACAUUGCAACCCAUAAUAGAAGAGGUAUUUGAGGUUCAGCUGCUAAUGGUCCUGUGAUUUUGCAUUUCUGCCAUCAUCAUUAUCAUCAUCCUUGGCCAAUACAAAUAUCGUUCCAAGGGAAUCACAUAGUUCACUAUAAUUAUAAGGGCAGUAAAUUAAAUUAGUGAAAUAAUGAAGCACCAAUCAUCUUACUUUUUCUCGAUACAUUGUUAACUUCACUCGAAAUCUGACUUAUUUACUUAUUAUUUUUAUAUGUUCAUUCACUAUUUGCGAUUUUCGCAAACCUAUCACCAAAAACUAAGAGUUCUACUAAACACAAAUAAGGGGAUAUUCUAAUUUAAUGUGCAUUUUUAACUGAUGGUGAUUGUUAAUAAUUUUUUCUAAGAACAAAAACCUUAAGUGACUACAUGAUGUUUUUUUAGUGCUAACUAAUAAGUUGUGCAGUUGCUCCAGAAUUCUACAAGCUUAGGUACAAUAAAACAAGUUGUUAUCAUAUUAUUAUAUUGCUAAAGAUUCCUAACGGAUUUGAUACUUUUGAGUAUCUUGAUUUGUUGUUUUUUUCAGGUGAUCCAUGAUUAAUUGAUGGAGAAUUUCUUGACAAGAUUGACAUUGUUGUACUUAUCAUUGCAUCUCUUAAAACGAAGUUGUAUAUUCUUCUAUGGAAAUAGUCUACUUUUUAAUGUCACUUCAGUAA